rnacentral:rRNA from 1 species
GAUAAACGCUGGCGGCGUGCAUAACACAUGCAAGUCGAACGAUGAAGCUUAAAUGAUCUCUUCGGAGUGACCUUAAGUGGAUUAGUGGCGGACGGGUGAGUAACGCGUGAGUAACCUGCCUUGCACAAGGGGAUAGCCGUUGGAAACGACGAAUAAUACCCUAUGAUAUGAUAGUUUCGCAUGAAGCUAUCAUCAAAGAUUUAUCGGUGUAAGAUGGACUCGCGUCUGAUUAGCUAGUUGGUGGGGUAAAAGCCUACCAAGGCAACGAUCAGUAGCCGGCUUGAGAGAGUGUACGGCCACAUUGGGACUGAGACACGGCCCAGACUCCUACGGGAGGCAGCAGUGGGGAAUUUUGCACAAUGGGGGAAACCCUGAUGCAGCGACGCCGCGUGAUUUAGAAGGCCUUCGGGUUGUAAAAAUCUUUUGUAUGGGAAGAAAAUGACAGUACUAUACGAAUAAGGACCGGCUAAUUACGUGCCAGCAGCCGCGGUAAUACGUAAGGUCCGAGCGUUGUCCGGAAUCAUUGGGCGUAAAGGGUACGUAGGCGGAUAAGCAAGUUAGAAGUGAAAUCCUAUAGCUCAACUAUAGUAAGCUUUUAAAACUGCUCAUCUUGAGGUAUGGAAGGGAAAGUGGAAUUCCUAGUGUAGCGGUGAAAUGCGCAGAUAUUAGGAGGAAUACCGGUGGCGAAGGCGACUUUCUGGCCAUAAACUGACGCUGAGGUACGAAAGCGUGGGUAGCAAACAGGAUUAGAUACCCUGGUAGUCCACGCCGUAAACGAUGAGUGUUAGGUGUCUGGAAUAAUCUGGGUGCCGCAGCUAACGCAAUAAACACUCCGCCUGGGGAGUACGCACGCAAGUGUGAAACUCAAAGGAAUUGACGGGGACCCGCACAAGCAGCGGAGCAUGUGGUUUAAUUCGACGCAACGCGAAGAACCUUACCAAGUCUUGACAUAUUACGGCGGGGUCUAGAGAUAGACUCUUAUCGCUUCCGCGAACUGUAAUACAGGUGGUGCAUGGUUGUCGUCACCUCGUGUCGUGAGAUGUUGGGGUUAGUCCCAUAACGAGCGCAACCCCUAUUUGUUAGUUACCCUCAUUUAAGUGGGGACUCCUACAAUACUGGCCGGGAACAACCCGAAGAAAGGGGGGGAUGACUUCCAAAACUCCUGCCCCUUAUGAACUGGGGCCACCCCCUGCCUCCAUGGGCGGGACCGAAGGGAGCCAAAACUGCCAGUUUAACAAACUCCAAAAGCCGGUCCCCAUCGGAAUGGCCCCGCCACCCCCGUGCCCUAAAAUUGAGUUGCCUCUAAUCCCCAAAACAAAAGGGCGGGGAAAGGCUUCCCGGGCUU